rfam:Mycobacterium marinum M, complete genome.
AACGCUGCGCAAGUGGGCCGAAGGUCGACUCCGGCAGCGUGAGGGGCUUCAGCCCGCCCCGGAAAGCUGCAG